rnacentral:tRNA from 1 species
GACGAGGUGGCCGAGUGGUUAAGGCGUUGGACUGCUAAUCCAAUCUGGUCUGCACGCCUUGGGUUCCGGAAUUCAAACCAUCCUCGUCG